UAGCUACUUGCAUCAUUGUAGAUAUGAUGCAAGAUCGACUAUGUCGAAUAAAAUUCUAGGUAGAAUUAUGAUAAUGACAUUGUCUGCCUAUGUGUCUUGACCAAAUUACGUGCCAGCAGUCGCGGUAAUACGUAGAAGACUAGUGUUAUUCAUGUGUAAUCGGUUUAAAGGGUACCUAGACGGUAAAUCAAGCCUAUAAAAAAUAUAAAUGAAGGGACUAAUUUACUAGAGUUACUUAUGAGGGGGUAUUAAAGUACUACUGGUGUAGAGAUGAAAUUCUGUCAUACCAGCAAAACGACGGCACAGGUAUAGGCGAAAGCAUCCCCUUAUGUGAUAACUGACGUUGAGGGACGAAGGCUUUGUGUAGCGACCAGGAUUAGAUACCCCAGUAGUCAAAGCAGAAAAUGAUGAAUGUCAUAGAUUAGAUAUAUAAGUUUAUUCUAUAAAUGAAAGUGUAAGCAUUCCACCUCAAGAGUAAUUUGGCAACAUUGGAACUGAAAUCAUUAGACCGUUUCUGAAACCAGUAGUGAAGUAUGUUGUUUAAUUUGAUGCCCCGCAAAAAACCUUACCACAAUUUGAAUAUUUAUAUCUUUUAUUGUUUUUCUUCUGAUUUUUCUUCUGAUUUUACUUCAGAUGAAGUAAAAGAAAGAAGAAAAAUAAAAAGAGGCAAUAA
rnacentral:rRNA from 1 species